AAUAAAUCUGCCUCUAGUUUCCUUUUGGGCCAGAUAUGUGCAGGGUGCUGGGAACAGACAUCCGGAUGAGCUGUGUUUCUUGUGCUUUCCUCUGGUUGGGGAGCCUGAUGCCGAAAGGUGGUGGGUACUGGCACAGGGAUUUGCUCCUGGAGGGCCUGACCAGGGUGUGCCUGCUCUCCCUGAGUGCAAUCCCAGUGUCUUAGAAAUGGAAAAUGGGGAGUGGCCAGCCCUUUUUCUGAGGCUCAACUCCCCAAGUAGUCAGCCCAUCUGGCCUUGGGACCUUCAGUGCCACAGAGCUCACGUGGUCCCAAGUAACUCUGCAUACGCAAAGUCCAUUCUGGUCUUCCUGGAGCUGUCCCACACUGGCAUCAUUCUCAGAAUGGACUCGCAGGAAAAGUCCAUUCUGGAGUCAGGGAAUUCCUGGCAGGGUGCGGAGGCUCACUCACUGAGAGAAGCCCAGAGCGCAUUCAGUAAGCCUUGCAAAGUGUUUCUACAUCUGGAACACAUGCUCUGAGGAUGAAGGAUACAUUUGGAAAAUGCUGCAGGACUUCUCAGUGCCUGCAUCAUUGAAGUGUACGCUGGGAACCUGUGAGACCCGGGCAGAGUAUGCAACAUCUCCCAAAAUUGCUGCACCAUGGAACACUUUUUUUUUUUUUUUUUGCAGGACAUCUCUCAGGGCCAACGUUUUGGAAAUUAUAUUUUGAAACAAAA
rnacentral:lncRNA from 10 species